rnacentral:lncRNA from 1 species
UUUAGUUGUGCUUGAUGAUGUGUGGACAACAAAUACAUGGAACCAAAUAAAUAGAAUGGUCAAAGUAUUUCCAGACGCAAAUAAUGGCAGUAGAGUAAUGUUAACCACCCGGAAGAUUGAUGUUGCUAAUCAUAUUGAAAUGCCAACCUAUGUUCACCAACUGAAGCUCUUGGAUGGUGAAAAGAGUUGGGAACUUUUUAGUACGAAAGCUUUACCACCAUAUAGAAGGUCCUUGAUACAGAACAUUGAUGAGUUUGAAGAGAUAGGGAGAAAGCUUGCACGGAAAUGUAAAGGACUACCACUUGCACUAGCUGUUUUGGGGGGCUAUCUAUCAAGGAAUUUAAAUCUAGAAAAAUGGUCGGAUAUACUACAGGGUUGGGUGUCAACUGAAAAUGGGCAGAUGAUGGGAGCCAUACUAGCUCGAAGUUAUAGUGACUUGCCAAAUCAUUAUAUAAAAUCUUGUUUCCUCUAUCUUGCUGUCUUCCCUGAGGAUUACUCCAUAUCUGUAUGGGAUCUUAUCAAAUUAUGGAUAGCGGAAGGCUUCAUUCCACCUAUAACAAGGCACACACGGGAACAAACAGCACGUAUGUACGUAAGUGAUCUGGCUCAAAGAUGUUUGGUUCAAGUGGUUAGUCGAAGCAAGAUCCACGGAUGGAUUGAAGAAAUAAGGAUUCAUGAUAUUUUACGUGACUGGUGCGUUGAAGAAGCGAGAUAUGCUGGUCUUGUUGAUGUCAUCGACAACACUAUAGGUCAGGUUUCCUCUCCACUCUUUGUGAAUACAGUACUUUCACUUUGUAAGUACUUUGUAGCUUUUGGCCCUUACUUACACCUGCCAUAUACUCCGAAAAUUGCAGGCCAUGUUGGUGAAUCUUCGUCCAAUACCAUGGUCUCCUAUCGUUCAUCUUUUCAAAACUUCUGUGAUGGUAACAUGUUCACAGCAACACCUAAUCUCCGAACUCUGUUUGGCUUUGAACUUCCACCAUUCUCCCUACCCAAGCUGAGAUUCCUCAGAGUUCUCCAUGUGGAAAAGUCGAGCCUAAUUGAUUUUGGCAGGGUUAUCAGUGGGUGCAUUCACCUAAGAUAUCUCGGGUUGAGAGAGUGUAGGCAGGCCACGCUACCUUCUUCAAUUGGACAAUUGCUUUACUUGCAAACUAUAGACCUGAGAGAAACGAACUUGAGAUCGGCCAUACCAAACUCUUUAUGGGACAUCCCUACUCUAAGGCAUGUUUACCUUCAUAACACAUUUUUAACAGCUACGAGGAAUUGUUCACAGAAAGAGCUCCAGUCCUUACAUUUGCAUCUCCUACACGAGGAGAGCACUAAAUUCUUCCGAAGUGGGUACAUGGUGGCCUUUUUGGGCCAAAUGACCCAACUAACUACUCUCGUAUUGAAAGUGUGGUCCAUGCCCGCAGAGACGAUUCAUUUAUUGACAAACAUGACUUUUCUAGUUGAGGUUACCCUUGGUGUGUUCACGUUGCUCGAUAAGUUGCCUGAGAGCCGGCUUCUCCCGCAAGGCCUACGGAGGCUUCUUUUAUCCGCCGAAACCAUUAAAGAAGACCCGAUGCCAAUCCUGGAGAAGCUUCCCUGCCUGGUGGUGCUCCAGUUACGGGGGUACGAAGGCCGAACCAUGUUCUGCUCUGCCAAAGGGUUCCCACGGCUGCAAGAGUUGUACCUUAAUCGUUUCUCCAUUGAGGAGUGGAGGUUGGAGGUGGAGGCGAUGCCAAGGCUCUCACGCCUGAACCUUUAUCUUUGCCGGAACAUGAAGCAGCUCCCGGAGGGGCUUCUGCACCUGCCGGCCCUCAAGGAGCUUCGUCUGGUUCGCACGGGCAUGAAUCCUGAAGAUGACGUCACCUGGAAAAAGCUGGUUGGGAAAGGAUGCAAGGUAGGAGAUUGAUUUUCCUUCCCUCUUGCCCUUAAUUACCUUUGAUAUCGCCCUUAAACUUUCUCUCUGCUCCUGACUGCGAGUCAAUUGGUUGCAUAGAUCAUUUUAUUACUUUCAACGAAUUAGAUGAGUAGCUUGAUCCGUAACUAGCAGACAAUUAAUUGUGCGCAUUUUGCAGGUGUUUCGUCUUUAAUGCAAUCUUCAACUGGUGCUUCGUCGUCGCAUGCCGCACGCGCGCAUGAGAGGAGAAUGUAAAUUGCAAUGCAUUUCUGUUGCUUUCUCUCCAGUAUUUCUGGUGUAUUUAUGUUACACCUAUCAACUGUAUGUACUCUGUUUCUCGACAUGAGAUUUCAGCAAGCAAACUUGUGCUUCUGAGAAGAACACGGUUGUGAUCUUUUGUAUUUCCUAUCUGGACAGUGGCUUGGCUUGUACGUUUUAUACAAUGUGGAGAGGUUUGACUGGCUUUCUCUUUCCAAUAAUCAAAUUAAGGUUGGAGAAAAAAAUUCAGCGGCGCCACGUAAUAUGCUCGCACUAUCUUCCGCCUGUUGCUCUGGCCGGCGCCCACUAGUACGCCGGCACACCGGCGGCGACGGUGGUGCUUCUGCAGGAAGCCGCCCAACCCCCCUAGAGCGAGGCAGCCGUGACUCCAGGACUCUCUCCAGCCUCAUCUCAUCCACCUCUUCCUCAGCAAGUUGCCAGUGGUGGAUGCAGGAAUUUGAGAUUGGGCGUACAUAAAUGUUAGUGAACCAAACAGUCGUAGCAUACAAAAGAUAAUUUAUGAAAACAAAAGGUAUGUAGUACGUUACAAAUAGUUGCUUAAUCCAUUAUCCAUACAAUAUCUUGAAACUACAAACUAAUAAAUAAAAAUUACAAAUUAACUCGACGAGGCAGCUUUUGGAAACGAGAGAUAAUGCCUUCAUCAGCAACACGUAGGAAAAAAUCCUUCUCAAUAAUUGUAACCAAGCAAUCAUUCAAGUAUUGUUCUCCCAUGCUGUUUCUUGCCUUAUUCUUCACAAAAUUCAUAGCUGAAAAUGCCCUUUUAACACUUUCUGUUGCAACCCAUAGCAGCAACACUAAUUUUAGAAGGACAAAUGAGUAUCUAUAAUGCAUAUCCGUUUCAACAAGUAAAACUGAAAGCUCCCCAAUAUUCUUCACUGUACUAAAUCUUUCAUCACUACGAACAUCAAUAAUGAAUCCACCAAGUUGAAAGGAUAAACGCCUCAAGUCUGUCAUUGAGGAGUCUUUGGGAUAAAAUUUAGCAAGUUUUAUCAAGUUCUCCUUGUCAGAAGCAGCAAAUGAAUCCUUGGGAUUGAAUGAUGCAUGCCUAUUUGGCCAACAGCCAGCGGCGGCAGGCGCCCGGCGCCCGGCGGCUCGGCUCCCCUCGUGCCGACGAGGAUUCGAGGAAUCGGCAAGACUCCACUUCAGUUGGAGGUAGAGGAAGAGAAAAAUCGAUUGGGAAUCUCGAUUUCGAUCUGCCUGAGAACUCACGAAGAGCAACGAGAGGGAGAGAGAGCAGCAGAACCUGCUCUGGAUGUGGCCCUUGGGGCGUGUGGGCCUGCCGGAGUGGCUGCGGGUGCUGUUUCGGCCUCUUGGGCCAGCCCAAUACGGGAGGGAGGGGGGAAAAUAGCAGGCUGUUUUGCUUGUUUGGGCUCCAAUAUGCACAGUUUGGCCUGUUACUUGUAUACAUAUAUGUAUAUACAUACACAUAUCCUGGUAUUUUUCUUGCAAAAUUAUUGGGCACCCAGGUCCAUAUGCUGUGCCCGCCCCUGACAGCGACAGCAAGGCGAGCUCGCGGCCGCUGGCGGCCACGGUCAUCGCCUCCAGGCCCCGGGCGCCCGCGAGCAGGAGCGGCGCCAGCACGCGGCGAAGCCGACGAACGCCGCCUCGCGGAGGUGCGGCAGCGGGAGCCUCUCGUCCCUCUCCAGCUCGCCGGCUUGUGACGCGUCACUGCUCUUAAAUGAUCGCCAGCUCAACAGCGAAAUCGUUCUCGCCGCGUCACGCGUCAGUCCUCUUAAAUGAUCGUAAUCCCUCUGUGAUGAGUGAAUGAAAGCUCCGGCAUCUUCCCCCAAAUAAAGAAAAGGAAUGGCGCGGCGCACCUUUUCGACAAGCCGAACACGAGAUCCGCCAUUGAGCUCGUGCAGCUCCGGGCCGCUCGUAACGAGGAACACCAGCUCUUCCUGCGACGACGCCUGGAUGGAUGGUGGCUGUACGUCCUGCCAGCGCUGUCGUGCGUGCAGCGGUGCAGGUGCAGCCAUGUUGAACUCUAAUUAAAUUCGAAUUAUACUAGAAUUUAAUCCAAAACAUUUCCUCAAAAAACCCCAGAAACAAACAACCCUAUAAUCCUAACCUUUUGAACUCCCUUCAAAUUUGAAUAAAUAUAAACCCCUGUCAAAAUACCAAAUACCAAACUCCCUAAAAUUGAAUUCCGAAGAAAUACUGUUGGCAGCAGGUGGAGAGAAAGUAUUUCGAAUUUGAACAAAGCCAAAAGUCUUUCAAAUGAAUAUCAAGCCAAUUCCUAAACCUAAACUUCAGGUUGGGCCGAAUUCUUCAAGCCAGCCCACCACCUCUCUUCUCUUUCUUUCUUUUAUUAAUCUGGCCUAUCUUUUUGGCCCGCUCGAGCUGAGCCGGCCUGCUCAAUCUCCUAGCCCAACUCCAUGUCCCCAUGGCCCGCUAGCCCAUCUGGGCCCAACUUGACCCAUCCACCUGCCUGUCCUCCCCCAGCUCACCUCCUACGGUCCUACGGUUUGGGGUCCAGGUUCAGUUGAUCCAGCAACCAGCACGACACCAAGCGGAGAUCAGGGAACGAAAGUGCCGCUGUUUGGGUUAGACAGAUCAGCUGAAAAUGUCGUCCAAGUUGUGGACUACAUGGAGAAGCGAAACAGGCGCUCAAGAAGGGCUUUGUCGGUGCAGUUUCAAGAUAAAGUUGGUAAUGAAAUUCAGCGUAUAAGAAGGAAGCUUAGCGAGAUAUCUGAAAGUGCGCGCAAACCGUUUGAAGAUUCUUGAUUUGGGAAGCACUGAGCUAGAGAAGAGCCAUGUCGAGGAUAUAAUUAAAAAGCCCUUGAUACAUAACAUUGACGAGUUUGAAAAACUAGGGAAAAAGCUUGCAAGGAAAUGUAAGGGAUUACCACUUGCACUAGCUGUUCUGGGGGCUAUCUAUCAAAAAAUUUUAACUCUAGAAGCAUGGUCAGAUAUACUACAGGGCUAGGCAUCAACUGAACAUGGACACAUGAUGGGAAACAUACUAGCUCCAAGUUACAAUGACUUGCCAGAUCAUCAUCUCAAGUCUUGCUUCCUCUAUCUUGCUAUCUUCCCUGAGGAUUACUCCAUAUCCAUAUUGGAUCCUAUUGAAUUACGGAUAGCAGAAGGCUUCAUUCCACGUACAACGAAGCACAAGUUGGAAAAAGUAGCACAUAAGUACGUAACCGAGCUGGCUCAAAGAAGCUUAGUACCAAUUGUUAGCAUAAGCGAGGUGCAUAUGGGUGGAGCGAACAAAUAAGGAUCCAUGAUAUUUUACGUGAUUGGUGCAUAGAAGAAGCAAGAUAUGCUGGUUUUGUUGAUGUCGUCGCCAACACUGCAGGUCAGGCUUCCCGCUUCCUCUCCAUUCUCUGUAUACGGUUCGUUCAUUUUGGAAGUACUUCAUAACUGUUGGCUCCUUAGUGACCUAUCAUGCACUCCAAAAAAUUGCAGGCCAUGUUGGCGAAUACCAUGGUACCCUAUCGCUCUUCUUUGCAAAACUACCUUGAUGGUAUAGCAUGUUCCCAGAAAUGCCGAACCUCCAGACUUUGGUUGGCUUUGAACUUUCAUCAUUCUAUCUACGUAAGCUAUGGUAUCUAAGAGUGCUCCAUGUAGAAAACACGAGCCUGACGAAUUUCUCUAGGGCAAUCAGUGUGUGCAUUCACUUAAGAUAUCUCAUGCUCAGAAAGUGUGGGCAGGUCACGCUCCCUUCUUCAAUUGGACAAUUCCUUCACUUGCAAACUAUAGACCUGAACAACACAGAAUUGAAUUCAGUGGUGCCAAACUCUAUAUGGGACACUACAACUCUAAGGCACGUUUACCUUGAAAGGGGAUUUUCUGCACCGAGGAAUCGACCACAAAAGCAGCUCCAGUCCUUGUACUUAUCUGUCCCAGAUGAGGACAGUAAGUAUUUCCAGAGUAAGAACAUGGUGGCCUUUUUUAGCCAAAUGACCCAACCAACUACUCUCUCCUUGGAUGUUGAAAACCUAUACUACCCGCAAAGAUGAUUCAUAUACUAACAAACUUAGAUGACCUUUCUGGUUGAGGUUUACCUUAAUAAGUUGCCUGAGAGCCGACUCUUACCACAAGGCCUACGGGAGCUUCAUUUGUUUGCUGAUGCCAUUAAAGAAGACCCCAUGCCGAUCCUGGAGAAACUUCCCUGCCUGGUAUUGCUCGAGUCAUCGGGGCCGAACCAUGUUCUGCUCUGCUCAAGGGUUCAAUUCCCUCGGCUGCUAGAGUUGGACCUGUAUUACUUCAACAGUCAGGAGUGGAGAAUGCCUACCGGGGCAAUGCCAAGGCUCUCACGCCUGAAGCUUUAUCGUUGCCGGAACAUGAAGAAGCUCCCAGAGGGGCGCACCUGCCGUCCCUCGAGGUAGGUGACUGGUUUUCCUCCCGUCCUGACCUUAGUUAUCUCUUUCCUCCUAUCAAUCUUUAAACGGUUGGGCAAAUGUAGGCUCCUGCUAGCAUAGAUCAUUUUAUUACUUUUAAUGAAUUGGAUGAGUAGCUUGAUCCGUAACUGGAAGACAAUUUAUCUUGUGCAAAACAUAGUGCAGGUGUGACGUUCAGUGAAUGUAAUUAACUUUUGUGUCGCUCUCUUGAGUAUUUCUGGUGUGUUCUAAGUUAUAACCACCAACUGUACUGUGUUUGCCUGAAUGAGAUUUCAGCGAACUCGUGCUUUCGAAAAGAACGAUAAGUUGCCAUUAAAGAACAGCCAAUGCCGAUAUCGAUCCUGGAGAAACUGCCAUGCCUAGUGGUGCUCGAGUUACCAAGGCCGAACCAUGUUCUGCUCCGCCCAAGGGUUCCCUCGGCUGCUCUCUUCUUAUCUUUCCAUCGAGGAGUGGAUGAUGGAGGUUGAGGCAAGAGCUCUCUUCUUUCUGCGACCAGUCGACCACCAAGGCACCAACCGCCCAGCGGCCCAGGCCUCUGGCUGCCACUCAUCUGUGUCGUAACCACCAAGGCACAAUCGGCCCAGCAGCCCAGGCCUCAAGCUGCCGCUCAUCUGUGUCGUAACUCAUACGCAUCGACAUUGCCCCCACUUAUGCACUUCAAAAUGGUCACUCUCCCGUCCUGAACCACCGCCCGCCUCCCGCCCACUGCCCACUCCGCCACACACUUUCCGCUGCCACCGAUGGAGAUCGGCCUCGUCGUCGCUCACCGGCCGUCUCUCCCGGUGGCGGCGGUACCGGCGCCGGCCUACCUCCGCCGCCGCCACCUUCCCGGCCUAAUCUCCCUCCCCCGCACCUCCCCCUCCCUGUUCUCCCCGCACCAUCAACGCCUCAGUCCCACGCCUCGCCAUGACCUCCUGCAGCCUCUCCGAGCCUCCCCAGCCCCUGAUUCUAGCCCCAAACCAGAGCCCCCCGCCGCCUCCGGUGCGAAGCUUGUGCCGCUCGUCAUCUCCAUCGCGGUCGGCCUCGCCGUGCGGUUCCUCGCGCCGCGGCCCGCCGAGGUGAGCCCCAACGCGUGGCAGAUGCUCUCCAUCUUCCUCUCCACCAUCGCGGGGCUCGUGCUGGGCCCGCUCCCCGUCGGCGCCGUGGCCUUCCUCGGGCUCACGACCGUCGUUGCCACGAAAACGCUCCCCUUCGCCGCCGCCUUCGCCGCCUUUACCAACGAGAUCAUCUGGCUCAUCGUCAUCUCCUUCUUCUUCGCGCGCGGGUUCGUCAAGACGGGCCUCGGCGACCGCAUCGCCACCUACUUCGUCAAGUGGCUCGGGAGCAGCACGCUGGGGCUGUCCUACGGGCUCACCCUCGGCGAGGCCUGCAUAGCGCCGGCCAUGCCCAGCACCGCGGCGAGGGCAGGGGGCAUUUUCCUGCCGAUCAUCAAGUCACUCUCCAUCUCGGCUGGCAGCAAGCCCAAUCAUCCAUCUUCACGGAAGCUCGGAUCAUAUCUUGUGAUGACGCAAUUCCAGGUAAUUAAGUAGUGCAGUUCGUCAGAUUCGCAUGGGUGGAUCAAUUGAUGAAGUUGCUAAUUGCUACUUGUUCCUAGAUUAGGGGGUGUUUGGAUACGAGAUACUAAACUUUAACAGUGUCACAUCGGAUGUUCGGAUGCUAAUUAGGAGAACUAAAUAUUAGCUAAUUAUAAAACUAAUUGCAGAACCCUGUGCUAAUUCGCGAGAUGAAUCUAUUAAGCCUAAUUAAUCCAUCAUUAGCAAAUGGUUAUUGUAGCACCACAUUGUCAAAUUAUGGACUAAUUAAGCUUAAUAGAUUCGUCUCGCGAAUUACACUCCAUUUGUGUCAUUAGUUUUGUAAUUAAUCUAUAUUUAAUACUCCUAAUUAGUAUCCAAACAUCCGAUGUGACGGGUGUUAAACUUUAACACCCAGGAGCCAAACAGACCCUUAGUAGAUCCAAUAUACUGCUUGGACUGUAGUUCUCACACAUCUUUUUUUAGAUAAUGGAUAAUAUUCCGGCUUCAACCUCCUCAAAGAAGAGGAUCAGUCCACUGCUAUUACACAGCACACAAAUAGGACUCAAAAACCAAUUCAUAAACUAAAAGACCAUCCAUUUGAAUUAAAGAAACGUAAAGCUGCCAUCUUUAAAGUUCGGCAUGCUGAAAUGAAGAGCUUCUCAUCAUUCUCACUUCGUUGCAAUUGGCUCAAGAUCGGAGCCAAUACGUUCCCCUGAACAGUACCUGCAAAAAAGUUUUGGGUCGACAUUUGUGAAAAAACCACCUCAUUUCGAGACAACCAUAUUGCCCAACAAAAAACUGAUACCCCCGUCAGUAGGUAUAGAUUCGGCUUAUGCCCACCCUGUUUAACCCAUGAAGAGAAUUUGCCAUUCAUGGUUGCCGGUGGAGAAAUAUCAAAUACUAUAUAUAUCGCACACCAUAGAAAUUUGGCAUACAAACGAUGAAGGAAAAGAUGAUUAAUGGAUUCCUCAGAACUACAAAAGCUGCAAUAUCUAUCCUCAUUCCAAUUCCUCCAAACUAAGUUAUCUUUUGUUAGUAACUCCUUUCUUUAAAUACCACAUGAAAAUCUUAAUAUUCAAUGGUAAUCUCAUAUACUAUAUUUCCUGCUUAACUCUAACUCCGGAACUAAUGAGAUGCUUAUACAUAGAUUUCCAAGUAAACAUUACAUUUUUAUGUAGAGACUAGAGAAACACAUAUAUCCCUUCAUUAAGGUUAACUUGAACUAUUCUAGCAAUGAGGUUGUGCCAUUCUAGUAGCUUAUUACCGACUAAUGAUCUCCUAAAAAAUAUAUUAAGUGGUAUAGCACUAAAGACAUCAGCCACAGUGGCAUGUUUUUCGUCCUGUUUCCAAACCAUGUAUCUUCCUAAAAUCUAGUUGUUCUCCUGAGUGUACUUUGAAGUUCCCCAAUUUGAGAAAUUCCUCCUUCAUUCCCAUCAAACCCUUCCAAAAUUGUGAAUCUCCUAGUUUUUUGUAAACUUGGCUUAGUGGUUUAUUCCUAAGGUAUUUGUUCCUUAGAAUUUCUUGCCGUAUCCCCUCUUCAUUGCAUAGUUUGAAAAGCCAUUUACUCAGUAAACAUUUAUUUUGAAUAUCUAAGUUCAUGAUCCCCAAACCUCCUUGUUGUUUCGGUUGGCAGAGAACCUCCCAUUUAGCUAGCCUAUAUUUUUUUUCUAUGUUGAUCAUUCUGCCAAAAAACCUAGACCUAAAAUGCUCAAUAUUUUUUAAAACACCCCUUGGGACCUCAAAAAAUGAGAGCAUAAACAUUGGCAAGCUUGAUAAGAUAGAAUUAAUCAACACUAGUCUACCUCCAACCGAUGACAAUUUUCCUUUCCAUCCACUCAACCUUUUUUCAAUUCUAUCUUCAAUGAUCCUCAGUCUUUGUUAUUCAAUUUCCUAAACCCGGAUAUCAAAAAGAGUAGGAGCCAAGUUUACACCCAAAUAAUUGUGAGUAUGUAUUCUCGUGCUCUCUUGCUCGUCCAAAGCAGAAGAUUUCACUCUUAUAAAAAUUGAUUUUAAGACUAGAUAAUUGUUCAAACAUGCAUAAUAAAAUCUUCAUAUUCUUUGCUUGUUCAAUAUCAUAAUCCAUAAAAAUCACUGUGUCAUCUGCGUAUUGCAGAAUAGAGAGUCCAUCUUCUACUAAAUGUGGAACCACCCCUUUGACUUGCCAACCACUAUGUUAAAUAGUAUAAGAGACAGUGGGUUACCCUGUCUAAGCCCUUUUUUAGUUUGGAAGAAAGGACCCAUCUGUCUAAGAGUUCUCACAUAUCUGAAUGCACCGAGUUGGUGAUCACUUACUAAUUUAAGAAUCUGCAUUUUUCCCUACGGAAUUCAGUUACAGAAAAGGGUCCAUUGUUCAUCGAAUUAGCUUGACACUGUAUCCUUCCAUGUUGCUAUCCACAACUAGAAGUUGGGAGUAGAAUUUCUUUGUUUCUGCAAAUGGCUCAAAUGGCGCCAAUACAAUUUAGCAAGUGGAGGAAUGCACAUCGUUCAGUAAUUGUUGUGCCAGAAAGUAGUAGUUUAUCUGCAUGCUAAAAACUAAGGACAUCUCUCUUGGCAGAUUGAAAUUUUAUGCAUUUCAGCUUCAAAAUUUCAUCAGUCCUCUUCAAAAUUUUGUGCAUUUCAGCUUGAAGCUAAGGGUUCAUGAAAAUGGUGCACCAUUCCUCUCUGUGCAUUUUGUCACUAAAACAUGCAUGACAAGAAAAAUUAUUGUCUUCUCCACUCAAAUAACUGAGAAUAAACAUUAACUUGUUUUGAUAUUGAACCUACUACCUUUGGGUCAGAACCGAAGCCAUUGCUACUCAAGUAAUCAAUGCAGUUCAGGUUCAUUUUCUUUCUCUUGCUUGUUGAUGCCUGAGAUUUUCUACAUGGAUAACUGAUGGCAAUGUGAAAAGUAGUAUAUUUCAGUAAAGAAAUAGUGUGUGUAAUAAUUUAAUAAUUUAAUUUUCCUUGUAGAAAGCCUAUUUUACCCGUACUUUACUCUGUAGAUUAUGCUUUCUUGCUUACAAAUAGUUGCCAUUAAACGGUACUGAACUCGUAAUACCAAAUAUCUUUCGCUAAACAGUGCCAAAUUUAUAAGCACAAAUGAUAGAGGUCAUAAUAAUUCAUCUGAUAUCUAAGAUUACUGUGUUAGGUGGAUGUCCACCUAAUCUAAGCAGCCCUAACGUUGAAAACUUUGUUGGUACAUACAGCCUUAACUUUAACGAAAGGUGAUUUGACUUGUAAGUGCAAUGCUUAGCUAAUGCUGACCACAUUCCGUUUUCUGGAAAAUCUAUAUAAAAAGAAUGUGGGUUGAUUCCCAACAGUAGUUUCUUCAUGUUGCCCUUUUUUUUAAGGCGACGUUGCCUUGUAAAAAAGAAAAGGGAAAUUAAGAAGUUCUAAAAAUUUAGGAAAAUCAUGGAUUACCAUUGCACUGUUGGAUUCAUCACCACUGGCAUGUGACUCUAGGAUCCACCCGUCAGUGUGACAUCUAGUGCCAAAAUCCUCAAAAUCAUCAAACUUAGCAAUUCCAUUUUUGAAAUACGGUUUUUGGGGUGAAUAUUAUUAGGUCGAUUUCUGUCUACUCAUGAUUGGUGAAUGUUCAUAUACUUCUUCUGGUAUGUUAUGCAUGUUGAUGGUUUCUUUUGCUUGACAGGCAGCUAGCAGCUCAAGUGCUUUAUUCCUGACUGCUGGAGCACAAAACCUAUUGUGCUUGAAUCUAGCAGAAGAGCUUGGUGUUAUUAUCGCAAAUCCAUGGGUAUCAUGGUUUAAAGCUGCUAGUUUGCCAGCUAUUGUUUCUCUCCUAGCAACGCCAUACUUGCUGUACAAAAUCUACCCCCCUGAAACAAAGGACACCCCUGAGGCCCCAGCAUUGGCUGCAGAGAAGCAGAAGCGGAUGGGGCCUGUGACUAAAAAUGAAUGGGUUAUGGUUGGCACAAUGAUUUUUGCAGUGUCCCUAUGGAUUUUGGGGUAAGAUCAUCUGUCACUGAAGAAGAUCAUCUCAUAACGUUGACUCGUGAUCUCAAUACCAUCCUGCAGCCUGCCACCUAUUAGACUAUAUGGUUCUUUUAUAAAUAAAAUAUUUGCAUGGACUUUCGCAAUGCAAGCUGCUCCAUAUAUACAGCCUCAUUAGUCAUUACACUUAGCUUGGAAUGAUCAAAUUAAUCUGAAAGCGAAUAAUUAAUUGUUUGAUUCUCUCAUCCUUAAGUUGCCAUAGCGCACUGUCCCAUUCAUUUAGUCCGUUUCCCACUCUUUGUUUCUCUUUUCUUGUUCCUUGCUUGCUUCUAAUAUAUGGAAACUUGGUGAUCCAUAUGCAUCCUGCUAUUGAUGACACCAUGUUUUCUUUUUUAUUUAUCUCUGUUGAUCGUAUUCAUCUGUAUCCAUCACAACAUGCAUGUUUAAAUACUUGAGAGACCCGUCGUAGAUCUUUAUUAAUCCCUAAUUUCAGUGAUUGGUAGCUACUACGUACGAACUAGGCAAAGUGCUUUAGAACACUAAUUAUGAGAUCUUAUGCAUUGUGCCCUAGAAAUAGUGUGCUUUUUUGUGUCCCAUGGUCAUGAUGGAUAUGUUUUUUUGAAACAAAGGUCAUGAUGGAUAUGUAACCUAUUUGCAAUUUCCGUUCAGGGAUGCUAUUGGUGUGCCUAGUGUUGUGGCUGCAAUGCUUGGGCUCUCCAUUCUUCUCCUGCUUGGUGUGCUGGACUGGGGUGAUAUCUUGAAUGAAAAGUCCGCAUGGGAUACAUUGGCUUGGUUUUCAGUUCUGGUUGGGAUGGCAGCACAACUCACAAACCUAGGGAUUGUUUCAUGGAUGUCAAACUGUAUUGCCAAGCUGCUUCAGUCUUUCUCAUUGAGUUGGCCUGCAGCAUUUUGUGUUCUUCAGGCCUCCUACUUCCUGAUCCAUUAUCUAUUUGCAAGCCAAACUGGGCAUAUUGGAGCCUUGUACUCUGCAUUUCUGGCUAUGCAUGUAGCAGCAGGUGUUCCUCGUGUGCUUUCAGCACUUGCUUUGGCGUUCAACACAGAUUUGUUUGGGGGAAUAACUCACUACAGCAGUGGGCAGGCAGCGGUAUACUUUGGAGGUAAUUUCAUUAGUCUAGCUUCUGUUCUGAACCUAGUUUAUUUCCUGAUUGGUUAUUCUUGGGCUCUGACUCUACCAAUUGAGUUUUUUGGUUGUUUAGUAGUGUUUUCGUACAGAAUGAGCGGUCCAUUGAGAUUGCUAUCCUAGUUAACAUGUUGCUUUCCUUUUGCAGCUGGGUAUCUUGAUCUUCCCGAUGUUUUCAGGAUUGGUUUUGUAAUAACCAUGAUUAACGCAUGUAUCUGGGGAGUUAUUGGGACCAUUUGGUGGAAAUUUCUAGGGCUCUACUGACAGCAGGCACCAUGUAAUUUUCCUUUGCCGAUCAUCAAGUUGCUCUUGCUCAUGGAUUAGAAGGGGAAGAGUCAAGAGUGUAAUAACAUAAUAACGACUGUUGUUCAUGCUGGGUAGCUUCGUUAAUGCUAUCAGCUCAGUACAGUUUCUCGAUCACAGGCUGCUACGUCUGCCCUGUUUCUCCAUGCAUCUUGUACAGUUGCAUAGUUUUCUCGUAAAAUAUAAUGUAAGUUGGCCAGGAAACGGUCUUGUGGGAGAUUUUGUGCAAAUCUUUUCUGGCUUUGUGAUCAUACCAGCUAUGGUUAUAGAGCAUAUCAAGAAUCAAGGAGGAAAAAGAAAAACAAGCAACAAGUUGCAUGGAUGUCACAUGCUAACGUGCUCAUGUAUCCUCUCUCAAGCAUGUACAUGGCUGAUCAGCUAAUAACCGGCCGCCAGGAGAAUAAUCAUGCAUGGAUGGGCCAUGCAUUGUAUUAGCACCAUGCCACCAAGAUACACACGCGCUAUGUUCUGCCGCCGGCCGCAAGCACGCGCGGUACCUGCUGGCGCGCUCUGGCCCAGACAUUACGGGAGGGAGCCAGAAUGUAGCCCCACAAUUCUGAAGAUAUGCAUCGUCAGACGGUCAACGCGUGAUGAUAAGAGCAGCUGCACGAUUAUCAGACCGGCCUUCUCUCGAGCCGAUUAAGGCCUCGUUCGUUUUCACCGGAUUAGCUCGGAAUGAGGUCCAUUCCUGGUGGUUUGAAGUGGUCCGGUUUGAAACCAGACUUGCAUUGAAAGUGUUGUUCGUUUUAGUCUGGCCUGGAACGAAAACUGACCUGGAUUGGAAUCUUUCUACAUUAGAUAGCUCGGACUAAAACCAUACCUCCUCACCCCUGGAAUGAAUCUUAGCCGGAUUGAGUGACACGGGUGGAAUCACUCAAACCAGAUCUUCAAACCAGAUCUGAAAGUAAUCCUGGCUGGAAUCCAAUCCUGGUGAAACGAACGAGGCCUAAGAGCCUGUUCGGUUCGGCCGGUUUUGCCCGGUUGGACGGAUUGGAACGGCUCGGAAUGCUGUUCGGUUAGAUCUGAUCCGGAAUAGAAACAGGCCCGGUUCUACUCCCGGUCCGGUUCUACUCGCGCGCAAUCAUUCCCCACCUCCUCCCCUCCGGAACGGAGCCUGGCCGCUCGCUCGACUCGGUCUCCCCUCGGUCCUCCCUCUCGUUCAGCCUCCCGUCCCCGCCGGAUCCGCGCCGCCGUCCCCGCCGUCUACGACCGCCUCCGCCGGGCCCGGGAGGCCUUCGUGGCCGCCGAGGUGGCCGGCACCGCUGACGUGGAGGCGUUCCUGGAGGAGCUCAAGGGCGUCGCGCUCGAGGCCAACCGCCUCCGUCGGGGCGUUCUUUCGGAGCUCGUCGCCGCCGCCGGGGGUUACCAGGCGGCGCUCUACCUCGAGGCGCUAUCGCGCUUCGUGCUAUCCAUGCAAGACCCCGAGGUGCUCCGCCGCUUUGACCAGUGCCGCCCCUCGCCCGGUAGCUAGUCCCCCUUCUUGCUCCCAAGGUCCGUGCCGUUUCUUUCUCCGUUGCUUCAUUUCUUUCGUUCGUGCAAAUUCUUGGUUUCUGUAUUGGGGGAAUAGCAGGUUCACGGCAGUUACUGGUAGUAUUUCCUUCUCGUUUGACUUGCUUAUAGCAUUGUCCUUUCAAGUUCUGGAUGGACACAUUUACUAUAGUAGCGCACAUGGCGUUCCUAUUGGUUCUGAUAUUCUUGUUGGUGGUCAGAUUAAUCUAUGCUACAAGUAACUAGAGAAACAGUAGGAUCAGUACAUCUGGAGUGAUGCGUGAGUCUGAUUUCAUUGUCAGAGUGCUAUUGGCUAUUUACUUACUGCUUGUGCCUGUUGAUCAUGCAGGCAUCUUUGAGAAGCACGAGAUGGGGUAGCAAGUGCUGGGCAGCGAGGACCAAACCAAGAAGACAAAGUAUAAUAUUGUAUGAUACUCUUGUCCCAGUUAGAUACAAUCGGGUACAGAUACAAUGGCUGCUUUCCAACAUGCAAUUUUUCAUAUCUGAUGCUCAUGAGAGCUCAUGUUCUUCUUCGCUUGUGUUUUGGCAGUGGCCAGUUGAGUGGUAGGUGGUGGUGAGCGACUCGAAAACGUUUGCAGCAGCGUCCUGUGGGCAGCUGCGCCUCGUGGAUCCGACUUGGACUCCAAUUUUUCCCCAAGGAACCAUGUCGCCAGCAGUGACGCCUCAGUAUUAACCCUCCUGAGAAUUGACUUGCUACCAAAUCUUUUAUGACCUAUUCGUUUUGAGUGGAUUGGCAAGAUUAAAUCCUGGCCGGAUUGAGUGACACAGGUGGAAUCACUCAAACUGGGUCUGGAAGUAAUCCUGGCUGGAAUCCAAUCCGGCUUAAACGAAUGAGGCCUAAACUGAGCGCUGGACCUGCAUCAGUUUGUAUCUGAACUGGCCCACAGCUCAGUGAGUUAACCUCGGAGGUCGACGUGUGGUUGAGGAGGCGAAAGCUCGCACGGACGCUUAUCUGUUCCGGAGGCCGGCCGGCAUCGUCAUCCGACGCAAACCACAAACGUUUGCAUUCCAAGAUAAAACCAAAGCAAACGUUUGCAUUCCAAGACAAAACCACUCCUGCCACAACCACAACCGCAUUCUGUCACCCCAUUUCCAACCAUCCAUUCAGACUCCGAUCGAGAGCAGAGAGAUGGUCGAGCCUGCUAUUUCUGCCGUCGCUGGGAGCAUCAAGGACCUUGCUGUCCAGGAGACCACACUGCUGUGCGGAGUCAUUGGUGAAGCCGGGUUCUUGAAAGAUGAUCUGCAGCGUCUACAUGGCUUCCUCAACGAUGCCGACACCAAGCGGAGAUCAGGGAAUGCAAAUGCCACUAUCUGCAUUAGGCAGAUCAGGGAUGCCACAUAUGAAGCUGAGAAUGUCCUCCAAGUUGUGGACUACAUGAAAAAGAGAAACAUGCUCAAGAAGGGCUUUGUCGGUGCCAUUUCAAGGUAUGCUCGCUUACCAAGCGAUUUGAUCACUCUCCACAAAGUUGGUAAUGAAAUUCAACGUAUAAGGAGGAGGGUUAGUGAGAUAUUUGAAAGUCCAAGAAAUUUGGAAUUCCUUAAUCGGGGUAAUACUGAGUUAGGCAAUUUUCAUGUUGAUGAUGAGUCUCUGCAAGAUCACGGUCUUGUGCUCCAAAAUUUUGAAGCUGUUACUGCUAUCGGUUUUGACAAUGAGCAAAAAGAAAUAGUUGAAAAAUUAACUGAAAAGGAUAACAAGCUUAGUGUAGUCUCCAUUGUUGGCAUGGGUGGAGCAGGAAAAACUACACUUGCUAGAAAAAUCUGCAGUUCAGAUAAAAUAAAACAACAUUUCGACGCAAUUGCUUGGGUUACUGUAUCUCAGAAGUUUGAGGUUGUUGAUUUAUUGAAGGAUAUUAUGAAACAGAUCACUAGGGGCAGAGAUGAUGGUAGAGAAGUUGGUCAAAUGGAAGAGAUAGCUUUGAGAAACAAGAUACAAGCCUUCCUUACAGAAAAAAGAUAUUUAGUUGUGCUUGAUGAUGUGUGGACAACAAAUACAUGGAACCAAAUAAAUAGAAUGGUCAAAGUAUUUCCAGAUUUAAAUAAUGGCUGUAGAGUAAUGUUAACCACCCGGAGGAUUGAUGUUGCUAAUCAUAUUGAAAUGCCAACCUUUGUUCACCAACUGAAGCUCUUGGAUGGUGAAAAGAGUUGGGAACUUUUUAGUAUGAAAGCUUUACCACCAUAUAGAAGGUCCUUGAUACAGAACAUUGAUGAGUUUGAAGAGAUAGGGAGAAAGCUUGCACGGAAAUGUAAAGGAC